rnacentral:lncRNA from 1 species
GGCACUUAAGUGUACUUACAUGGCGGAAAUCCGCCAUGUAAGUUUUGGGGUUUAUUAAAAACCCCAAAUCCAGACAGACGCGUCUUUUUCUCUCCUUGGUGAUUCCGCCGACCGUCUCCUGCUGCCGAUUCCUUCGCCGUGCGUCCCUGCUGCCCCCGUUCUCGCCUCCGGUCUCGCCUACGGUCUCGCCUCCGGUGGUGCCCGUUCUUCCUUCCGUUCGUAGUUGCUCCUUUCAUACUUUGGUGAGAUUUAUAUAUUUAUAUAUUUCAAUAUUUUUUUUAGUUUUUUGAUUUAGAUUUUUAUAUGAAUGCUUUGAUACUUUGAUUUAGGUUUUUUGUUUUAGUUUUUCAAUAUUUGUAUAUGAAUGAAUUAUGCUUUUGAUACUUUGAUUUAGUUUUUCAAUAUUUGUUUUAGUUUUUCAAUAUUUAGUUUUUUGCUUUGAUACUUUGAUUGUAUAUAUGAGUGUGUUGUUUUGAUUUUUGUUUUGGGUUUUGUUUUGAAUGGGGGGUUGUUUUGAUUUAUUUUUUAUGGGGGGUUGCUGUAAUUUUAUGAUAUCACAUUAGGUAUUAAUUUUAUUAGAUGCAAGUCGGUAUUAGGAGACGACUUAAUCCCUUUUGCGUCAUUUUUUACCGAUUUUGAUCUUAAUUCUUGAUGCUCCCUUGCUGCAUUUUGAUCUUUCUCUUUAGCUCUGCAAAAACUAUCACUAGUUUGUACAGAUUCCUCACUCUCCCUUGAUACAUGUUCUUCAGGUAACUUUUUGUUUGUCGAGACAGAUGCUAAUACCAUGUCUUUUUCGACUAUUGAAAUGAAUUCUUUAACUAUGAUACCUGAACUGCUCAUCUUAUUCCAACUAGAAGUUGAACUACCAUUCUUAUUUCCUUUUCUGGUUAAAACUCCAUCAUUGUUGGCACUUAUCUUGUGGUUUUGAUCAUUGUUUUCAUCAUAUUCUAGUACUGAUAAUAUAUCCAUAGUAUUUAACUGAAAAAAUUCAAUAUUAUAAUGGCUAAUCCGCCAAUUAAAGCUCCCAAUCCAUCUGUAAAAAAAAAUCAGCAAAAAACAAACAGAUUUCUAUAGAAUUAUAGAAUUCAACCAUGAAACAAACCAAAGAUCUUACCUUCAAAGCUUCUUUCAUAUUGGAAUUUACCUUUCCUUGAGCUUUGCAUAUCUCAUCAACCCAAUUCAAAUCUACAACACAUGGAUGGAUCCAGCUAUGAACCCCAUCGUUUGUGAUCCAAUUUUUUAAAAAAAAAAUCCAGCAUUGAAGUAAAUUUCCAUUGAUUGAUUAUCUGAUUUAUUAUAAUUUUUAUAUCUAUCUGUUUAUGUUUAUGUUUGAUUGAAGUUUUUUAUACCUAUCUGUUUAUGUUUGAUUGUUUAUUAUAAUUUUUAUACCUAUCUGUUUAUGUUUGAUUUAUUCCAUUGAUUGAAGUAAAUUUCCAUUUCCAUUCAUGUAUAUGGGUUGCUGUAAUCGACAGAGUCGCUUAAUCGUCGUCGCCUCCUCCCGUCUUCGUCGUCGUCUCCUCCUGUCGGUCACGUCUCCGUCGCCGGUCUCCACUUCCACACACCUCGGUAAUAUUUCCUACAUGUUCAAGGAAAUAAUAAUAAAAUGAAAUGGUUAUAAUAUCAAAUAAUAUUUGAUGAAUAAUAUAUUUUAUGAAUGGUUAUAUGAAAUUAUAAUUUUUAAAAUAAAUUUUGAAUCAUAUAUAUUUAAAUUAUUUAAUUUAAAUUAUUAAGUUUACAUGAAACUAAUAAUUUACAUGAAAUAAAUAUGCAUGAAAUCAAUUAUUAAUGAAUUAUUUGAAAGAAAUAAUUUUGUUUUAAUGAAAAUGAAAUAUUAUUUAAUUUGCUUGAAAUAUUAUUUUAUUUUAAUUAAUUUAUUAAAUAUUUUAUUUACUUUUUAAAAAUAAUUAAAACGAAGUUUUAAUUAAUUAUAUAAGUAAUUAACAUAUUGUUUUAAAUAAUGAAAAUUUUGCAUUAAAUUAUAAAAUAAUUCUUAUGUAAUAAAUAUAUAAUUUAUUGUUUUUAUUAAUAAAAUUAUUAUUUGUUUAAAAAUGAAUGAUUAUUUAAUUAUUUAANNNNNNNNNNNNNNNNNNNNNNNNNNNNNNNNNNNNNNNNNNNNNNNNNNNNNNNNNNNNNNNNNNNNNNNNNNNNNNNNNNNNNNNNNNNNNNNNNNNNUAUAAAUUGAUUUGAUUAAAUAAAUAAUUUAUAUAAUGUUUUAAUUAAUUAACUAAUUAAAUUAUUGUGUUGUUGACUUGAUGUAGGUUUGGAAAAAUCAAGAAUCCAAAAAUUCAGAUUGAAUUAACCGCGGAAAUCCGCCAUCUAAAGGUCCAGGGAUAGUCGGCGGACAUCCGCCGUCAAUGAAAUUAACCGCCAUCAAUGAAUUGGCGCCAAACUAUUCCCGCGCCAUAUUUUAGAUGGCGGAAAUCCGCCAUCUAAAACUUUUCAAUUCGCGCCAAAAUUUUCAGUUUAGA